UUGACUGUUGCAAGUACGGCUGUAUCAUUAAGAAGUUUACAUUGCAACCUUGUGAUUUCCAGUUCAAAAACAUGCUUUUAGCCAUUAAGAAUAAGCUGUGCCAUGCACUUUGCAGAACUUCUGGGAUCUGUGAGAUCAAUGAGGUUAAUAUUCUUUUCCAUCAACUGAAACUUGACAGCCACAAAAAAAGCCAUGGGAAAGGAAGGAAUUCCAGAGAACCUAUGUUCCAGGGAAGAUGACUUUGGGAUAGGAAUUUGAGACAAGCCUGUAGGGGUGGACAUAAUAUAUGUGAUGAAAGGAAGUGAGAAGCAAGAAUUAGUUGAUUGUCAAGGAACAAAUACUGAAUGAUGGUCUGAAGCAAGAUGGAAGAAAAUGAAGUUUCAAGAAUAAUGUUGACCCCUAUGUCUGAAGAAAAACAUAUCACAAUAAAGAAAACCAAAUGUUAAGUCAUGCAGAUAUUAAAACCAUGUGAUAAUUCAGAGAACCAUGCAGACUAGUAGUUUUUGAAAUGCAGUUAUUACAGUCUAUACUAGAGAUAUCAUUACAAGAUAAACAUAGAAACACUUCCACAAUAUAAGUUCUUCACAUAACAUACAACAUUACCAAAGUGAUAAAAAGAAGAGACUGAAAUGGUUCAGCCAUGCAAUAAGACACCCAAUCAUGCGUCUAGGACAUUCACUCCUCAUGGACAAUAACCCCACAAGGACAAUUACCCCUGAGGACAA
rnacentral:lncRNA from 1 species